CGUUUCCGAACUAUCUUCUCUUCUUCUUAAACCCUAAUUGAAAUAAAGUUUUCUCAAUUUUCUUCGAUUUUGUUCUUAAUUUCCGUUUAAUCUUUCAAUUCUUAAAGUUUGUAAACAGGCUUCACUAUCUGGUCGAUGAGGAUACUUCAAUUCCCACUUGACUCGUUCCCUUGAAGCAAUAGUAAUAUGUGUUGCUCUUUCAAUUUUACUUCCACAACCCCCUUUUUAUGGUUUUGGGAGCACGCGAG
rnacentral:lncRNA from 1 species